rnacentral:rRNA from 1 species
UGCAUGGCCGUUCUUAGUUGGUGGAGUGAUUUGUCUGGUUAAUUCCGUUAACGAACGAGACCUUGACCUACUAAAUAACAUGAAUUUACACCGUAAACGUUGUGUUUCUUAGGGGGACUUUGUACAUAUAGUGCAAGGAAGUACGAGGCAAUAACAGGUCUGUGAUGCCCUUAGAUGUUCUGGGCUGCACGCGCGCUACACUGAUACAAGCAGAGAGUUUCCCUUCUGAAAGGAAUGGAGAAUCUUGAAGUUGUGUCGUGAUGGGGAUAGUUUAUUGCAAUUAUUAAACUUGAACGAGGAAUUCCUAGUAAGUGUAAGGAAAUAACUUGCGCUGAUUACGUGCCCUGCCCUUUGUACACACCGCCCGUCGCUCCUCCCGAUUGAGUUAUCCGGUGAACUAUUUGGACCAUCCUUAGGACUAAUGUCAUCUGGAGGGGA